GACGAACGCUGGCGGCGUGCUUAACACAUGCAAGUCGAACGGAGUGGCGAACGGGUGAGUAACACGUGAGUAACCUGCCCUUUACUUUGGGAUAACUGCAGGAAACUGGGGCUAAUACAGGAUAGUGGGGGAUGGACUCGCGGCUUAUUAGCUUGUUGGUGGGGUAGUGGCUUACCAAGGCUUUGACGGGUAGUCGGCCUGAGAGGGUGACCGGCCACAUUGGGACUGAGAUACGGCCCAGACUCCUACGGGAGGCAGCAGUGGGGAAUAUUGCACAAUGGGCGGAAGUCUGAUGCAGCAACGCCGCGGUCGGGAUGACGGCUUUCGGGUUGUAAACCGCUUUCGCCUGUGACGCGGUAGAUGGAGAAGAAGCACCGGCUAACUACGUGCCAGCAGCCGCGGUAAUAC
rnacentral:rRNA from 1 species